rnacentral:rRNA from 1 species
GUCUACAGCUAUACUACCCCAAAUAUGCCGCAUCUCUUCUGAGCUCCAAAGCUAAGCAGGGUUGGGCCUGGUUAGUCCUUGGAUGGAGGAGCACUGUGUUCUCCUCCUGCUGCAGGUC